AAUUUUAAACCACUGGUGUACAUAUUCAAUAGAAGGUUACAUGAUUGGUAUUUUCUAUUCUGCAGAAGAGCAUCCCCAAACUAUUUUGUUCUUCUAGCUAGCAUUUUGUGCAUGUAUGUGUAACCAUAUCAAUUUAAACUCUCAACGUUUAAAAUGCUUUCAAUUUGUUUUUUGUUUGUUUUUUAAUUGGUCUAUUUUUUUGUGAGAGAUCCAACUUUUGUGUUUACAUAUAUUAGUGGAAACUUUGUUUUUAAGAGAGAGGAGGCCAGGCAGAAGGAGGAAUGCCAUAAAUUGUCCCUGUUCAUUAUUGUAUCAGUGGUACAUAGUGAGGAGACCUGGAAAAAUCCAAGUUAGUCUUUUUCAUUUUUAAGUCUUUUAGCGUGUUUUUUUGUUUGUUUUGUCUUUAUUAUUUUUAGUCUUUAUUAUUUGUAAUAACAUGUAAGCAAUCUAACAGUAGGAUCUUGCAAUUCAGAAAAUAUUUUCACUUUGCACGUUAUAAAAGCAGAUUUUGAAAAUUGAGGUCUUAGUGAAAGUUAGAAGGUCACAAAAGUUCAGUAUCUUCUGAAGCAAGAGGGUUGUGUAUCACAUAAUAGGUUUAAUACAAUUGUUAUUAAUUACAGUAUGUAAUUAACAUUUGGGGGGUUGUCUGGCCAUAAAAAUGAUGCAUAUUGAUGUCAGAGAGGAUCUCUGGUCUAGAAUGAUAUCCUCUUAUAACUGUGUAAUUUAAUAGAUGCUUUAUCUUAGAAAUAUUAUUACCUCCCCACUCCCCCUCAAAUCCCUACCAUGUGUAAAGAAAUUGACCUUAGAUUACAACAAAUAAGCAUCUUUCAGUGGCUUCCUGAUUUUUCUGGAAAAGGUGAUGAAAACAAGUCCCUUUGUUCAUCAGAAAAUUGAGCUCAAAUUUGACUUUGAGAGUAUGGUACCUGACAGGACAUGACAUUGGAUGGUAGGGCUACCUUAUCUUGUAGAAACUGUGACCAGUACCUCCCUUAUACUUUUUAAUUUUAAAAUUUAAUUAUAUUAUUCCUCUGUUCUUUUCUAGACUAUAUAUGGUGGAAAAACACCAGUACCUAAUGCUGCAAUAUCCUACCAGUGCUACAAGUACAAACUGAGCUACCCAAAGUGACAUAGUGGAGACAACCAAUGACCUCCCCUUGGAUCCUCCACACGUGACUUGGGUCAGCAGAGCAAGAUGGUGGUCACAUUUACAAGCACUGAUCAUGCUGUCUACAGGACUCUACACAGGAAAGUAAACCCGACUUUUAAAUUUGGCUUUGAAUAAUGCUGUCACAACAGAUGUUCCACAGAAUCCUAGCAGUGGCUCUUUUCCUGCUCCCCUACUGUGCUCGAGGUAACCCAGCACACAAGUUUCCAGUGCCCAGUUUCAGGAUCUUACCUGAAAUGGGAUAGCUGAAGGCUUUAUGUCAGGCUUCAAAUCACUUCCUGGCAAAGAAAUGGGAGAUGUUAUCCUUCAGUUAGAAGAUCGGAUUUCCAAACUUGAAAGAGUCCUCCACUUGGAAGGGAUAAUAACAGCAUCUGAAGGAAAAAUAUUUGCUACCGAUGGGAAAACAGCUGAUUUCCACGCUACAGUGAAAAAAUGUGCAGAGGCUGGGGGUUCUAUUGCCACUCCAAGGAACGCAGGCGAGAAUGAUGCCAUUCUGUACUUUGUGAAACACUUCAAUAAUGUUAGCAGGACAAGACAACCAACGCAUGGUCUCAUGCCAUGUGGGACAUGGUGUGGAAGAAAAUGCACAGGAGCCAAGAUGAUACAGUGCCCGUGGAGUUUGUUGACUCCAGCAUAGCUUCGACACCAUAGGCUCUGCAAAAGCUCCGCAGAUACACAGGGCGAAGGCUGGCUGACCAUUUAGGCAUGCCUCCAUACACACCAGGCCAAGCACCUCGCUAUCAGCUGCACCCACUCGCAUGAGCUUUCUUAGUCCCAGCUUGGUCAGAGGGAGCCAACCAUGCAGGCCUAGAGCCAGACCAGAUCCUCAUUCCCCCUGGGUGAUGGGGAGGCCAAACCAUCAACACAUAAAGGUAUUUACUUCAGAUGAUUAACUCUACAGGACCAAUGUCAGACCAAGACACCUUUCUGCUUGAACAAUUUGGUGUCUGCAGGUGGUUUGCCUCCACAAGGUACCUAAUUAUUCACUCUGGUAAUAUUCAGAUUCUUCAUCGCAACAAUGCAUAUGAAAUAGGACUUCUUCCCUGUUCCUGGAAUGGUAGUUAUCCAAACCUAUAAAAAGAAAUGUUUUUAGAGCAACGUCCUCCAUUUAUCCAAUACAUCUCUUUAGCAUUUGGUAAGAUCCACAAGCUGUUAACUAGAGCACUGUUUCUGGGCAUCACAGUCACAAUGUAAAACAUUGGAUCCUUUCAUAUUAGGUCUAGGUAGACUAUUAUGUUGCUAUGCUAACCCAGUUUGAAACAGGUAUGCCGAGGUAAAAUGGGGAAUCAAGAGUUCGCAGGCACUGUUUCACUUUCAAAUUACAUUCUUACUCAGAAAUGUUUUACAGUUUACCGGUACAUGUCUGCACCCACCAGCUCACCCGCCCACAGCCUUCAGCCUUGCGUGACUCCUGUUGUGAAACUACCUCUGCCACAAGCACAAGGAAACAGGAGCACAGGCAUCACCUCGUGCAGUAGUUUUCCACUCAUCGUAUUUCAAUACGGCUUAGGAAGCUUACAACGAUUAACAUCAGCCUGAGAAUGAAGUUUGACCCCCACCAACUUUUAAAGACAUGGUAAGUUCUUAUUUUAUGUCUCCUAUCUUGGAAACUUAAGCUUCAGUAUCAGAAUAUCGCCUUGCUUAUCUACAGGGGUUACAGAAUCAUUUCAAAAUCAGAACAAAUUGCAAGUACAUAAAAGAAAAUGGGUAUCUAGUGAACAUGUGCCAUGGCAGAAGCGUUUGCCCGAUAUUUGGGUAUUUUCCCCCAUGGACUUCCCAGGGAGAGGGUAAGGCACUUAAGUGUUACCUGCAGCUAAAGAUGCCAACCCUGUCCAGUCACUCUACUUGUGGUACCAGAUGAGGAUGUAAAACCUCAACCAAAGCAAAUACUUUUCACCCCUGCCUCAAUUCAGUCCCUCCAGCAACCCUGCCAACAGCAGACAGGUCUGGAACCAGUGGUCCCAACCUGAAAAGCCAAUCAGUACAGCAUUUGGACACUUAUUUCAUCCUUUUCCAAAAUCUGACUGAGAGGGCAGCACAGAAU